GCCUUCCUCUUCAGAAUGGUGGCCCUGAUCCCCGACGCGUUACGCAACGCGGAGAAGUUGCCGGGUGCUCUGAUCUUGUGCGGCGUCGUUGAAGCCGCGGUGGCGCUCUUCCUCAUCAUCUCGAGGACGCCCGGAGGCAUAUUUGUCCACCAUGGCAAGGUGCCCUUCUACCUGUACUACGGCAUCCUCAUUGCCAUAGUGAUAUUCGGGCUUGUGGAGGCUUCCGCCGGAUUCUGGGCAUCCGGUGAUGUGGUCCAACGACGUGCUGCGGCGAAGACGAUCCUGUGGGUGUCCAUCCUGCCCCUC
rnacentral:rRNA from 1 species